rnacentral:rRNA from 1 species
GAUGAACGCUGGCGGCGUGCCUAAUACAUGCAAGUCGAGCGAACAGACGAGGAGCUUGCUCCUCUGACGUUAGCGGCGGACGGGUGAGUAACACGUGGAUAACCUACCUAUAAGACUGGGAUAACUUCGGGAAACCGGAGCUAAUACCGGAUAAUAUAUUGAACCGCAUGGUUCAAUAGUGAAAGACGGUUUUGCUGUCACUUAUAGAUGGAUCCGCGCCGCAUUAGCUAGUUGGUAAGGUAACGGCUUACCAAGGCAACGAUGCGUAGCCGACCUGAGAGGGUGAGCGGCCACACAGGAACUGAGCCACGGUCCAGACUCCUACGGGAGGCAGCAGUAGGGAAUCUUCCGCAAUGGGCGAAAGCCUGACGGAGCAACGCCGCGGGAGUGAUGAAGGUCUUCGGAUCGUAAAACUCUGUUAUUAGGGAAGAACAAAUGUGUAAGUAACUAUGCACGUCGUGACGGUACCUAAUCAGAAAGCCACGGCUAACUAC